rnacentral:rRNA from 1 species
UGGGCAACCUGCCUGUAAGACUGGGAUAACUUCGGGAAACCGAAGCUAAUACCGGAUAGGAUCUUCUCCUUCAUGGGAGAUGAUUGAAAGAUGGUUUCGGCUAUCACUUACAGAUGGGCCCGCGGUGCAUUAGCUAGUUGGUGAGGUAACGGCUCACCAAGGCAACGAUGCAUAGCCGACCUGAGAGGGUGAUCGGCCACACUGGGACUGAGACACGGCCCAGACUCCUACGGGAGGCAGCAGUAGGGAAUCUUCCGCAAUGGACGAAAGUCUGACGGAGCAACGCCGCGUGAGUGAUGAAGGCUUUCGGGUCGUAAAACUCUGUUGUUAGGGAAGAACAAGUACGAGAGUAACUGCUUGUACCUUGACGGUACCUAACCAGAAAGCCACGGCUAACUACGUGCCAGCAGCCGCGGUAAUACGUAGGUGGCAAGCGUUAUCCGGAAUUAUUGGGCGUAAAGCGCGCGCAGGCGGUUUCUUAAGUUCUGAUGUGAAAGCCCACGGCUCAACCGUGGAGGG